UAUAGAUCUAGCUAAGUAAAAAAAUAAUGUAAGUGAAAGAAAAUCCUAUUUAAAAAAAUAAAUAAAAAUGUGUUCAGACCACAGUAUGCUAUGCAAGUGUAUAAGGGAUAAUUGUAGGGCAAAAUAUGUAUAUUUGUAGUCGGGGCAAUAUAGCCGUAUACAGAAAUCUAGCAUUUAAUAACCAUAACAUCAAUGAGUUGGAACCAGUCGGUUGUGGUGUGCCGGAACCGACAAAGCACCCUCUAAGUGGGCCUACCUUAGAGGGUGUUUAUAAAUAGAGGGAG